rnacentral:lncRNA from 1 species
AAUCCUGGUGUGAUGUGGCUGGAUCAUGCAUGAUCUGAGGACUCCUGCACAGCACUGAGCUCCUCACACAGGUGACUGAACCCGUGGUUUUGGUGUCUGAGAAGAUGCAGCUUCUCCAGUCUCUGCAACUGACGGCAGGAAGAUGGGAGCACUCAGCUUCAGUGUUCAGAAGCAGAUUUAGGCCAACUGCCAUACCUUACAUUCUGGAGGAAUCCACCCUGACCUGAGCAGGUGAGGUCACAGAAAGGCUUGCUGUCCAUCACAGGGACAGGAUUACAGCCUGCUCAGAAGCAUGUUGUGGUCCAGCUCUUGUGUCACUUAAAAAGACUCCAGCUCUUCUCUAAUAUUGAAUUCAACUAAUAUCACAGAGAGAUGUUCUUAAUCUUCUAAACAAACACACUGCCAUCAGUAUUCCCCAGAGGCCACAAACACACCCUGGAACCAUAAUGCCACCAGUAGCUCUACGAGAACUUGCAGGCUAAUGUGCCUGUUGCUCAU